rnacentral:rRNA from 1 species
AGUCGAGCGGAUGAANGGAGCUUGCUCCUGGAUUCAGCGGCGGACGGGUGAGUAAUGCCUAGGAAUCUGCCUGGUAGUGGGGGACAACGUUUCGAAAGGAACGCUAAUACCGCAUACGUCCUACGGGAGAAAGCAGGGGACCUUCGGGCCUUGCGCUAUCAGAUGAGCCUAGGUCGGAUUAGCUAGUUGGUGAGGUAAUGGCUCACCAAGGCGACGAUCCGUAACUGGUCUGAGAGGAUGAUCAGUCACACUGGAACUGAGACACGGUCCAGACUCCUACGGGAGGCAGCAGUGGGGAAUAUUGGACAAUGGGCGAAAGCCUGAUCCAGCCAUGCCGCGUGUGUGAAGAAGGUCUUCGGAUUGUAAAGCACUUUAAGUUGGGAGGAAGGGUUGUAGAUUAAUACUCUGCAAUUUUGACGUUACCGACAGAAUAAGCACCGGCUAACUCUGUGCCAGCAGCCGCGGUAAUACAGAGGGUGCAAGCGUUAAUCGGAAUUACUGGGCGUAAAGCGCGCGUAGGUGGUUUGUUAAGUUGGAUGUGAAAUCCCCGGGCUCAACCUGGGAACUGCAUCCAAAACUGGCAAGCUAGAGUAUGGUAGAGGGUGGUGGAAUUUCCUGUGUAGCGGUGAAAUUGCGUAGAA